rfam:Pseudomonas pseudoalcaligenes KF707 = NBRC 110670 strain KF707 ctg1524, whole genome shotgun sequence.
UGCCGGUCCCCCCGCAAUGAUCAGCCGUAAACCCGGUCAGGCCCGGAAGGGAGCAGCCGUAGCGGUGAAAUCGUGUGCCGGGGUGUGGCUGGUGGGG